UGAACGCUGGCGGCGUGCUUAACACAUGCAAGUCGAACGGAGUUUUAACGGAAGUUUCGGAUGGAAGUUUAGAAACUUAGUGGCGGACGGGUGAGUAACGCGUGGGUAACCUGCCUCAUACAGGGGGAUAACAGUUAGAAAUGACUGCUAACACCGCAUAAUAUAGCGAAACCGCAUGAUUUUGCUAUCAAAUAUUUAUAGGUAUGAGAUGGGCCCGCGUCUGAUUAGCUAGUUGGUGGGGUAAAAGCCUACCAAGGCGACGAUCAGUAGCCGGCUUGAGAGAGUGACCGGCCACAUUGGGACUGAGACACGGCCCAAACUCCUACGGGAGGCAGCAGUGGGGAAUAUUGGACAAUGGGGGAAACCCUGAUCCAGCCGACGCCGCGUGAGUGAAGAAGUAUUUCGGUAUGUAAAGCUCUAUCAGCAGGGAAGAUAAUGACAGUACCUGACUAAGAAGCCCCGGCUAACUACGUGCCAGCCGCCGC
rnacentral:rRNA from 1 species